UGCGUAGGCGGCCUUGCAAGUCAGAAGUGAAAGGCUACGGCUUAACCGUAGUAAGCUUUUGAAACUGUAAGGCUAGAGUGAAGGAGAGGAAAGUGGAAUUCCUAGUGUAGAGGUGAAAUUCGUAGAUAUUAGGAGGAACACCAGUGGCGAAGGCGACUUUCUGGACUUUAACUGACGCUGAUGCACGAAAGCGUGGGGAGCAAACAGGAUUAGAUACCCUGGUAGUCC
rnacentral:rRNA from 1 species